rnacentral:rRNA from 1 species
GUGUCAGCCGCCGCGGUAAUACGUAGGAUGCAAGCGUUGUCCGGAAUUAUUGGGCGUAAAGCGAACGUAGGCGGCCUUUUAAGUUUGGUCUUAAAGACCAGGGCUCAACCCUGGGAAUGGACUGAAUACUGGGAGGCUAGAGGACGUCAGAGGAAAGUGGAAUUCCAAGUGUAGCGGUGAAAUGCGUAGAUAUUUGGAGGAACACCAGUGGCGAAAGCGACUUUCUGGGACGUUACUGACGCUGAGGUUCGAAAGCUCGGGGAGCAAACAGGAUUAGAUACCCUGGUAGUCCGAGCCGUAAACGAUGGAUACUAGGUGUUGUGGGUAUCGACUCCCACAGUGCCGUAGCUAACGCGUUAAGUAUCCCGCCUGGGGAGUACGGUCGCAAGACUGAA